rnacentral:rRNA from 1 species
UACGGGGGGGGCAAGCGUUGUUCGGAAUUACUGGGCGUAAAGGGCUCGUAGGCGGCCAACUAAGUCAGACGUGAAAUCCCUCGGCUUAACCGGGGAACUGCGUCUGAUACUGGAUGGCUUGAAUUCGGGAGAGGGAUGCAGAAUUCCAGGUGUAGCGGUGAAAUGCGUAGAUAUCUGGAGGAACACCGGUGGCGAAGGCGGCAUCCUGGACCAACACUGACGCUGAGUGAGCGAAAGCCAGGGGAGCAAACGGG